rnacentral:rRNA from 1 species
UAGGGAAUCUUCGGCAAUGGGGGGAACCCUGACCGAGCAACGCCGCGUGAGUGAAGAAGGUUUUCGUAUCGUAAAGCUCCGUUGUUAAGGAAGAACGAGUGUGAGAAUGGAAAGUUCAUACUGUGACGGUACUUAACCAGAAAGGGACGGCUAACUACGUGCCAGCAGCCGCGGUAAUACGUAGGUUCCGAGCGUUGUCCGGAGUUAUUGGGCGUAAAGCGAGCGCAGGCGGUUAGAUAAGUCUGAAGUUAAAGGCAGUGGCUCAACCAUUGUAGGCUUUGAAAACUGUUUAACUUGAGUGCAGAAGAGGAGAGUGGAAUUCCAGGUGUAGCGGUGAAAGGCGAAGAUAUAUGGAGGAACGCCAGUGGCGAAGGCGACUCUCUGGUCUGUAACUGACGCUGAGGCUCGAAAGCGUGGGUAGCAAACAGG